CCUACGGGAGGCAGCAGUGGGGAAUAUUGCGCAAUGGGCGAAAGCCUGACGCAGCGACGCCGCGUGAGGGAUGAAGGUCUUCGGAUCGUAAACCUCUGUCAGCAGGGAAGAACGGUCACUGUACUAAUCAGCAGUGAAUUGACUGUACCUGCAAAGGAAGCACCGGCUAACUCCGUGCCAGCAGCCGCGGUAAUACGGAGGGUGCGAGCGUUAAUCGGAAUUACGGGGAGUAAAGCGAUCGUAGGCGGUAUGUCAAGUCAACGGUGAAAUCCCCGCGCUUAACGUGGGGACUGCCUUUGAAACUGGCAAACUUGAGUGUGUGAGAGGAUAGUGGAAUUCCAGGUGUAGGAGUGAAAUGCGUAGAUAUCCGGAGGAACAUCAGUGGCGAAGGCGACCAUCUGGCACUUAACUGACGCUGAGGAGCGAAAGUGUGGGUAGCAAACAGGAUUAGAUACCCGAGUAGUC
rnacentral:rRNA from 1 species